AAAAAAAUAAAAAUGUUUGUGAUGACUGCACUUUUUCUGCUCCAGGAAAUCAGGCCUUUGGCCUUUUUGCCUUUUUGAUUUAAGCUGAGAUCAAUUUGCCUUUCAUUUUGCUCUGAUUGUGGAAGAUGUCUUACAUUCAUUACGUAAAUCAAAUGAAGCAAUUUGGGGUUUCAAUAACUAUCUGAAUAGCUGAAGUUUUCUUGGGAAUACCUGUUUGUUUGUUUGUUUGUUUGCUGUUUGUUUUGUUUUUGUUUGUUUGUUUUUCAUUUUUAUUAUUUCUCUUGACCAUGGACUGAAUAUCUGUGUGUUUGCUUUCUAAACAAAUAUUUCCCUCUUUCUUGUCUCAGUUUUAAAUCCUUAAUUAAAAUAUGACUAGAUAUGAACUUAUGACAAUGAUGCAUAUCUGAAUAAUUUCAGAUGUCUUGGGAGUUUAUGUCUGCAUUUAAUGGAUUUCAUGGCUGGCCUUUAUCUCCGUGGAACUACAUAAACUAUCAUGCAUUUUGAAGGAAGAUUAGAUCACUGUUGUGUUGGUUUAUCUCAGAUUUUAAGGUAUAUAUAAUCCAGGUGUUACAAAAGCAUUUAAAUGUCAUUUUUGUGCAAGAUCAACACCACCUAAUGAUUGUGAAGAAAGCAGUAAGAAUGUUAUACAAGAAUAUCCACUGAAAAGUAUCAGUUCUUCCCUGAACUGCAACACCCUCCCUUCCUGUUUCUGGGGAGACAGUAGCAGAGUCUGAGUUGAUUUUAUAGCAGGCUUCUGCCACAUAAGCCAUAGUAGCUGUAUUUGUCAAGGAAGUGACUAGAAUUGUAAAAAUGGCUGAAAAUAUGUAUUUUCUUCUCAGAACGAGGAAGAUCAUUGUGACUCCCUGUUUUCUUUUUCCACAGAUCCAAAAAUAAGCCUGCUCAAAGGGUUUUGGCAAGUUUAUGUUCCACUGAGUUGAUUUGACAGAAUGAAAAAUUUGGUCAGUAGUUGAUCUGUGUAGAAAGAAGUACGAAUAAUGAGAUUAUCUCCAAAAAGAAUGAAAGAAAGACAGAAAAAAAGAAAGAAAGAAUUUUCUAUCAAUGUUUAUGUUGAAAUAAUUUUUCUACAUGCAUUUUGCAAAGCACUUGGAAUAACUAGUAAUAUUUCUAUGGUCUCCUGUUUGGUACAAACGAAAAUUAUCUUUCUUCUUAUGCAGUCGAGUUUGCUUAAUGACUGUGGAGUGAAUCAUUGA
rnacentral:lncRNA from 1 species